rnacentral:rRNA from 1 species
GACAGAGGAUGCAAGCGUUAUCCGGAAUGAUUGGGCGUAAAGCGUCUGUAGGUGGCUUUUUAAGUCCGCCGUCAAAUCCCAGGGCUCAACCCUGGACAGGCGGUGGAAACUACCAAACGUCGGAGUACGGUAGGGGCAGAGGGAAUUUCCGGUGGAGCGGUGAAAUGCGUAGAGAUCGGAAAGAACACCAACGGCGAAAGCACUCUGCUGGGCCGACACUGACACUGAGAGACGAAAGCUAGGGGAGCGAAUGGGAUUAGA